AGCCACUGCUAUGGGGGUCCGACUAAGCCAUGCGAGUCAUGGGGCGCGCUCUGCGCGCACCGGCGGACGGCUCAGUAACACGUCGGUAACCUACCCUCGGGAGGGGGAUAACCCCGGGAAACUGGGGCUAAUCCCCCAUAGGCCUGAGGUACUGGAAGGUCCUCAGGCCGAAAGGGUCUCUGACCGCCCGAGGAUGGGCCGGCGGCCGAUUAGGUAGUUGGUGGGGUAACGGCCCACCAAGCCGAAGAUCGGUACGGGCCAUGAGAGUGGGAGCCCGGAGAUGGACACUGAGACACGGGUCCAGGCCCUACGGGGCGCAGCAGGCGCGAAACCUCCGCAAUGCGGGAAACCGCGACGGGGGGACCCCCAGUGCCGUGGCAUCGCCACGGCUUUUCCGGAGUGUAAAGAGCUCCGGGAAUAAGGGCUGGGCAAGGCCGGUGGCAGCCGCCGCGGUAAUACCGGCGGCCCGAGUGGUGGCCGCUAUUAUUGGGCCUAAAGCGUCCGUAGCCGGGCCUGUAAGUCCCUGGCGAAAUCCCACGGCUCAACCGUGGGGCUUGCUGGGGAUACUGCAGGCCUUGGGACCGGGAGAGGCGGAGGGUACUCCUGGGGUAGGGGUGAAAUCCUAUAAUCCCAGGAGGACCGCCAGUGGCGAAGGCGCUCCGCUGGAACGGGUCCGACGGUGAGGGACGAAGGCCAGGGGAGCGAACCGGAUUAGAUACCCGGGUAGUCCUGGCUGUAAAGGAUGCGGGCUAGGUGUCGGGUGAGCUUCGGGCUCGCCCGGUGCCGAAGGGAAGCCGUUAAGCCCGCCGCCUGGGGAGUACGGCCGCAAGGCUGAAACUUAAAGGAAUUGGCGGGGGAGCACUACAAGGGGUGGAGCGUGCGGUUU
rnacentral:rRNA from 1 species